AGGACGAACGCUAGCGACGUGUCUAAGAAAUGCAAGUCGAGCGAUGAAGGAGGCUUCGGCCUCCCGAUUAGCGGCGAACGGUCGCGUAACACGUAAGCAAUCUGCCCCAAAGUUUGGGAUAGCCCGGCGAAAGUCGGACUAAUACCGGAUGUGGAUAUGUCCUCGCAUGUGGAUAUAUCUAAAGCAGCGAUGCGCUUUGGGAUGAGCUUGCGGCCUAUCAGCUUGAUGGCGGGGUAACGGCCUGCCAUGGCGACGACGGGUAGCUGGUCUGAGAGGAUGGUCAGCCGGACUGGGACUGAGAUACGGCCCAGACUCCUACGGGGGGCAGCAAUUAAGAAUCUUGCGCAAUGGGGGCAAACCCCCUGACGCAGCGACGUCGCGUGAAUGAUGAAGUCUUUCGGGAUGUAAAGUUCUUUUGUCAAGGAAGAGUUUUAGACGGUACUUGACGAAUAAGCCCCGGCUAACUACGUGCCAGCAGCCGC
rnacentral:rRNA from 1 species